rnacentral:tRNA from 1 species
GUAGAUGCCAGCGACAAAUUCCGGGGCCGAGAAAGCGAAUGCACUGGCUACGCCCGUAGAAGGCACAUGACCACAGCAGUGGACGGGGGUUCGAUUCCCCCCAUCUCCACCA